rnacentral:rRNA from 1 species
GAUGAACGCUGGCGGCGUGCCUAACACAUGCAAGUCGAACGUGAGGGGGUAGCAAUAUCCUUGAAAGUGGCGCACGGGUGAGUAAGACGUAGGUGACCUGCCCUGGAGUGGGGGAUAACAGUUGGAAACAGCUGCUAAUACCCCAUAAGCCGAGAGGUAAAAGGAUCAAUCCGGCAGAGGAGGUACUCGCGUCCUAUCAGCUAGUAGGUGAGGUAACGGCUCACCUAGGCGAAGACGGGUAGCCGGCCUGAGAGGGCGAACGGCCACACUGGAACUGAGAUACGGUCCAGACUCCUACGGGAGGCAGCAGUGGGGAAUAUUGGGCAAUGGGGGAGACCCUGACCCAGCGACGCCGCGUGCAGGAAGACGGCCCUAUGGGUUGUAAACUGCUUUUCCAGGGAGAGAAACUUACGCACGUGUUGCGUGACUGACGGUACCCUGGGAAUAAGCAUCGGCUAACUCCGUG